rnacentral:lncRNA from 1 species
UUUACUAUAUACUAAAGCUGGGUUACUGUAGUUAAGGGCCGAGCAGUUACAACUUUGUCCCUUCUUUUUCCUUUUUGACCAGGCUGCCCCUGGCCUUAGUAUAUAGUGGUUCGAGAGUGCUGCUGCAGUCAUUUUUUCCAUUUUGUUUCUUCUACGGUCUCUCUCUACUUCUCUCUUCCGAUCUACCUGAAGAAGAUGUGCAUGCCAAGAUCGGCAGUUGCAUGUUGUUUUUUUUGGUGAUCGAAGAUCAGCAACUUAUUGAUUGUGGAUAAACUGAGAGAAAAAUGUUGAUACAUGCAAUUAUUUUGUGGGCAUAUGAGUUUCGGAUCCUUAAAUAUGUAUAAUGAAUAUAUAUUCUAGGGGAUUCUCAGACAAGGUGGUUCAAAGCUUAAGUCUUCUCAUUUGUAUAGCGAUUCAUUCUCUUUCAUCUGUAUAUAACUCAUAUUCAUUCUUUCGUGUGUAUAGUUGCCCUUAUUUUGUAUUAGUGUAAGUAGCUUUAAGGCUUAGGUUUAAAAAGGUAACUGCCCAAAAACCAUGAAGCGAGAGCCAGAAACCUAGGCCUUGACGGGGGACUUUUGAUAAGAAUCUAUUAUUCAAACAGCAAUGCAUGCCAUCUGAAUGGAGUGGAUCCAGUUUAACAAUUAGCUUACAAAUGUGUUUCGAGUUACCUUUAUCCUUCGGACAUGUCUUACUUCGUGUUAUUUUACUUCCCAAAGAAUAAAAAGAACAGACAAGAAAACGAAUUAGAACAACUUCAUAACUUCAUAACAAUUAACCUACACACUGUUAAGCUCUAACAACUGUUAUAAUUUACAACUAAAAAGUGCCAAAAAGAAGAAUCAUUAGCAAGCAUCACAAAAGGCUUGAAGGCUCGAGUAAAUAGACAUACCAACAUAACUGAGCAUAAAAUCAAAAGCUUUUCUAGUCUCUUCUUGACCCUCUACCCCCCUCUUGUCAUUGACCUUUCUGAUGAAACGAAUGUAGCAUCGCCUGCAAAUCCAAUGUGAUCAACACAGUUAAGCAUUUUUCAAACUCAAAAAUAAGAGAAAGACAUGUUUGUCCAACAAAAAAGAACACAGAAAUUUCAGUAAUCGUAUGAAGCAAUGAAGUUUUAGUGGAAUACGGUGGUCAUUCAAUUACAGACAUGCAAAUAUUCAGACAGUCUGUUCUUGAUCCUCCAUCAUGAUUAAUCGUAUGAAGCAAUGAAGUUUUAGUGGAAUAUGGUGGUUGUUCAAUUAUGCCCAUGCGAAUAUUCAGACAGUCUGUUCUUGAUCCUCCAUCAUGAUUACUGUUCUUUUCAAUUGCUGAUUAAUGAAUAGUAUUGUUCCAUAUAAGAUAAUGAAAAGAAAAAUGUGUCUUUUGCUUAUGAUAAGAUAAAAGCUAUAAUGCUAAGGAGGGGUAAUUCAUUGUUGUUCUUCUGGUUGAAGCUAGUCAUCUCUUGUAGCUUGCCAAACUUCGUGAAAUGUUCAACCAACCAUAAUGCACGAAUUGAACAUGUAAACGUCAUGAAAAAGAAUAUCUACCAUAAAUGUACCACAUGACCUACACACAUGUAUAAUUCUGAACAUCAAAAGUACUAGAAAGAAAUCUUACAGGUUCAUGAUUCUAUCUUGGUCUAAGCAAUGAAAUUUGAGCAAGUCAUCUAGGUGAUUAUGCACUCAUUUUCUGUCUUAGAAAUUCUGAAGAAAACUAUAUGCUCUAUAGACUAUCUCACCAUUCAUUUAGAUAAGAGAGCACCUUGCUGACUUACAACCAUGGAAAUUCACAGUUAAGUCAAUUUGUAGUUUGGGACAUAUUUGCUCUAUGGAAUUCUUUUGAGCAGGAAGAUCUGAACUUAACAAUAUGCUGGGCCACAAUACAUACAAAUAUAUUCCUGAGUUUAAGUGAUUCCCUUAUUUGUUCAUAAAGUCAACUCAAGAUCAAGAUGGUCAAUUUCAGGACUAAGAUAGUCACUAAUUCUACAAGUAAUUUCUGCCACCAUUGUAAUAAGUAGACAAUAGUGAAACAAGUUUAUCCAAUUCACUACACCUUGAAGAGAACCAAAGCCAUAUGACAUUAUAGAAUGUGCUUGCAACGAAACAAAAACAAAACCAAGAAAAGAUUUGCAUUACAUCAUCAACUGAUUAGAUUAUACCGACUCCACUAUCAAAGCAAUAUAAGAUUUUGCUGACAGAUUUUGGCUGUAGAGCAGAAUAUACCAAAGUGGAACUUGAAGACAAAUCAACAAACACCGGCUAAAUAUCUGUUUUGUAGCAUCAUCAUUAUUAACAGCAAUCUGUGCCUCCACAUAUUGCUUCCAAUACUUUGCCUGGAGAGAAGGAAAUAACUAAUCACUUAACAUAAACAGUAUUUACCCAAACAUGGAAAAGCUGGCACAUUAUGUGCAUCAGUACUCCUUUAAAUGCCAAAGAUAAGUCUCACUGUUUAACGAAAAUUAAGUAGAAGUUAAAAGUGGUUGCAGCUUACUUAGAUUUCUGUACAUUUUUCCAGAGCUUUUCAAACGCUAAAGAUAAGUGUUUUACAGUGCUUUUCAAAUAAUACCUAAAUUCUGCAGUAACUGAUACUCCCAUGUACACAAUAAUAACUAACUGUAUUGAAAGCUCUCCCACAGCUACCACGAAGUCCAAUCUCAAAGAACAACAGCAGAAAUUCUUCUAAGGCUAAGGGAUACAUUUGUUUCUCUAUACCCAGAAAUCCCCCAAAAUCCACUUUUUGCAGACCCGGAAACUCUACAAUCUUUAGAAGGCAGCAAAAUCUAGAAAAUAGCUAAGGAUAUACCAUGAGGGGAUUCGAACCCCAGACCACAUCAGAGCAAACCAUGGGCCUGACCAGUUAUACUAACCCCAUGUUGCCAAGGCUGAGGAAUACAUUACUAUUAAGAAACCACACACUUUCAAUGUAACACCACUUCAACUGACUGCAGCUUUCCAAUCCAAUAAAGAUAAUAGAUAAUAAUGCAACACCCCAAUUGCAGACCUAAAUCUAACUUGUUACCAAAACUCAUCCACACACACACUCCAGGUAUUCGAAAAUCCUUCUACCUGCAAUCCCUAAAGGGUAUUAACUCUCUUCCCAAUAUGCUCAACCGCAUAAUGAAUCUAACGUGGGCUUUAAGAAUUGACUCGGAACACUCACCAAUAAAAUCUUCAGGAGAAAGGAGUUUUAUUUGAACAACACCAGUUCCAACUUUAAAACAUCCACACGCUCCAAACUCACAACCAACUGCACUACCACCGUCACCUUCGUCCCCUCCUAGUCACUAGCAAGGGCAUCCCCAUCAACACCCAGCCACCACCACCUCAGUCAACACAUUCUCACAAAACCUAACCCUCGAUGUAGCAAUUGACCAUCUCAAUUAGACUUCCUUUCAACAUCUUAAGCAAAUGAAUAUAUCUAAUCAAAUGAACUAUCAUGGUCUCAACACUGCUCAUAUAAAGUUCAAACCAAAAUCGAAUUGCAUUGAAGGAAAAAAGAAAACAUAUGAGUUAGAAGGCACUCACUGCAGUGGGAAACACAGCCAGAAUCUGCUCAUAUAUCGCAGCUGCCUCUGUAAUAGGCAAACGCUGUUUCGAAACAAACAAGCUUCAGCUUUCAAAUACCUCUAACAAACUAUCUAAACCGAAACAAAAGGCAUAGGGUUAAAGAGCAGCCUACCAAUGCUUCAAUGGCUUGGUUUUCAGUGGCUUCGACAUUGUAUUUAUCCUCCAUGGCUUUGGUACCUGAGCCUACCAAUUGAAUUGACGCCAUUCAAUGCUGAGAACUAGAAAUUGAAGAGUAGGAAACCAAAGGUUAGGGCAGUCUUACUCACCUGGGUCAUCCACUGGCUUGUCGGUUUCCAUAGGAGACUGGAAUUAGGGCCAAAAUGGAAGAGGCGAGCACACAGCAAGUGUGAAUUGGGUUCCAGAGGCAGAAGAUGGAAAGGUAUGUUUUUAAGGUCAAAAAGUCAUUCGUUCAACAUUGAAUUCGUUUCUCUAAAGAAUAUAUAUAUAUAACAAGAAUAAUAAUAAAAAAAAUUAUUUUGCUUUUUUUUUCUUAAUGAAAAAUAAACAACUACAAAAUAAAACUACGAAUACAGUCGCACAUGACAGCAGAAACGAAGAACAUUUUGUGCAACAAGGACACGUUAUGCAACCAACUGUAUGUUUCAACUUGGUGUCGAUUGUUUGUCAAAGAGUCUACAACGAAAUUAGCCUCUCUCCAAAUGUGUUUAAUACUGCGCCAACAUACGAAUGUUAUGAACCAAAACAGCUAUUCUCUAAGGAGUACGAGAAUCCCCUUCAACAUCAAUCAGACUUUUGGAAUCCCCUUCAACAUGAAUGUGAGAAAACUUGUGAAGUAAACCUGUUUGUAAACCAACUUGGAGCGCAAAGGCUUUUGAAACAAGAACGGGCCAUGUGAAUGGAGGGGAUCCGGUUUAACAAUUAGCUUACAAAUGUGUUAUGAGUUACCUUUGUUCUUUGGACAUGUCUUUCUUCAGGUUAUUAAAGAAAACGAAUUAGAACAACUUCAUAUACUCAUGGGAAUAACGGCAGAGAAACUGUUUGGAAUAUCAUGGAUUGUCGAAAAGCAAACAUACAAAUCAACAUAUUCUACCAAAAGGAGAUUCUUCAAGUAGAGGGAUAGCUAGAUCAAGCUGAAACAAGAACCUAUGAUUGUUUACGCUAUAUUUUGUAUAGUUAGUGAUCCUUAAAAACAAACACAACAGCCGCUAGAACAAUGCACAUGUAAGUAAAUAUACGGUUUUGAGACAUCCACUAUUUCUGUAAAGCUCUAACAACUGUUAUAAUUUACAACUAAAAGGUGGGAAAACGAAAAACGAAGAAUCAUUAGCAAGCAUCACAAAAGGCUCGAAAGCUUGGCCAACAUAAUUAACCUCGAAAGGUAAUUGUAUUCCAAAACAACCGAUCUAAACAACAAUUUUACGGGUACAUAAGAAUCUCUCGUUGGUUUCCUCUAUAUAUAGGGCAUUUGCUAAACCCUAAUCUCAUCCAAACAGAGCAAUGAGAGCAUCAACCAUCUAGUCGGCACCAAAACCGCCAACAAUGGAUCAAACCAAUAAGGAAGAGACCAACGAGUCACCUCCGGAGUCUGAGUCCGGCUGGGCCGAGCUGACCCACGAUUGCCUCACCAACAUCAUCGCCUGCCUCUCCUUGUAGUUCCGAUGGCGUGCCAUGCUCGUCUGCAAGUCAUGGCUGCUCGCUUGCAAGGACCAGCAUCUCAACUCCUGCUUCGUCCUCGAGCCUGCUAAGUCAUUGCCGGAGUCGACUUGGUGGUGGGCACCCGAGUUCGGGAGAAAGGUCGACUCCAUUCUCCGGUCUGUUGCCAAAUGGAGCGAGGGGUCGCUCAGGGAGAUUCGCACCCGGAACUGCUCAGAUGCGUCCCUGUCUUUUGUGGCUGAAAGGUGCCCAAACCUUGAGGUCUUUUCGAUCAGGUGCUCCCCCAAUGCGACUGAUGCAUCCAUGGCUGGCAUAGCAUUUCGGUGCCCCAUGAUCAAGGAACUUGACAUCAGCUACUGCCGUGGAAUUUCUCAGGAGUCUCUUCUGUUGAUCGGGAGGAGUUGCCCUAAUCUAACAAUCCUUAAACGGAAUGCUGUGAACUUUCUAGAUUAUUCUAUAGAAACUGGGGUAGUUCCUUCUGAGUAUUUAGAUACUAAUAGGCCUCAAGAUAGAGAUUCAGAAGCUGAUGCAAUUGGGAAAUCCAUGCCGAAUCUGAAGCACCUUGAACUAAGGUGCUCCAAGGUAACUGCUAAAGGGCUUGGUUUGAUAUGUGCAGGGUGUCGGAAACUUGAGUACUUGGAUGUGUUUGGAUGUGUACACUUAACCAGUAGUCGUGAGAUCGAAAAUGCAACAUCUGAGCUCUACAACUUGAAGGAGAUUAAGCAGCCAUGUUUCUACACCCCUACCCCUUAUCCCUGGAUAUCAUGGAUAUAAUAUCUCUGAUUUUCGUAUAGUUAGUAUCAAUUAUUAUUAAUCUGCUACCUAAGCUUGGAAAUAAAACAGCAACGGGACUGCACCAUCUAUUGCCUUUGUAGCUUGUUUGAUCUAAAUUUGUAUCAGAACUGGUGUAAAAGCAUCAUGCUUUCAAUGUUUUAAAAAAAAAAAAUUAUAUGGUCAGUGACUUGAUUGUUCAUAUGCUUUGUAAUGUAUAAAUGAAGUGAUGUGCCUCUGGAUGUUAUGUCAGUCAUGUAAAUCAUUUUGAGGCAAACAGUAAUAUAUACACCGUAAAAAUUAGUUUGAGAAUCUUCUAUACUACGUACCCUAAAGAUUGAAUUGUCGGUUCUCUACAUGUUUUCACACAGACAAGCACAUGUACAAUACUUUCAAACCAAGUGAUGGUGACAAAAAAUGGUAUAAGGUUCAAGUAUCGUCCCCUUUCCCGGUCACUAAUAAUAUAUUGUUUUCGUUUGAAGCUUUUGCCGACUCUGAUGAUAACAUCACCUUCUUAUCUAGAGAUAAAUUUCGGCGGAUGCUCUUGUUUUGGUCAGUCACUCUCUUUCCUCGCUGAUGUGUUGGUUUGAUAGGGUUCUACCACUACUGGAAAAAAACACUUAGGAGACGGAAUUAUUUCGUCUCCUAAGUAACAGAUUUCGUCUUCCAAGUACUUAGGAGACGGAACGUCCGUCGACUAAGAUCCGUCGCUUAAGUGUGGUGAGGUAGUCACUUAGGCGACGGAACUUGAAAUUCCUUCGCUUAAGUGGUUCUUAAGAGAUGGAAUACUUUCGUCUCCUAAACACUUAGGCGACGAAUUUUAUUUUAUAAUAAAAAAAUUAUCCACUUAGGAGACAAAAUAGUUGAAUUCCGUCACUAAAGGACUGAAAAAAAUUAAAAAAAAAAAAAAAACGCCAUCGCAGGUUUUUUUAUCCACUCACUCUGACCGCCCCAAAUACCACCACCACCGCAGGUUUCAAAAGUCAUAACUAAAUGUCUUGAACUUCUUCUCAUCUUGUAUAUAAGUAGUAAAAACUUGCAUUUAUAAAUUGCAUAUGAAAAAAAUAAAGUUUACUGCCCCCCAGUAAACUUCUACUGGGGAUCAGUAACUUGUAAAAAUAACUCUCUUUCAAUUUCAGGGGCACAACACACAAGAUAUACAAAUUCUUACCCUAAUAAACAACUUUAUUGGCCCUUAGUGAACUCAGUAGAAGUUUACUGCCCCCCAAUAAACUUCUACUGGGGGUCAGUAAAAUUCAAUACAGUAUCUCCCUUUCAAUUUCAUGUCAAUUAUAUACAACAGAUAUUCAUUCUUACCCUAAUAAACAAAUUUUCAUUGCCUUCUAGUAAACCCAGUGGAAGUUUACUGCCCCCCAGUAAACUUCUACUAGGUCAGUAAAUUUCAACACAGUAUCUCCCUUUCAAUUUCAUGUCAAUUAUACACAACAGAUACCCAUUCUUACCCUAAUAAAUAAAUUCAUUGCCCCCUAAUAAACCCAGUGGGAAUUUACUGCCCCCCAGUAAACUUCUACUAGGGGUCAGUAAACUUUAAUACAGUAUCUCUCUUUCAAUUUCAUGCCAACAAUCUGCCCCAAUAUACCACCACCACCACCGUACCAAAUAACCAUCAUGCCACCACCAUCGUACCAAUCACAUCCUAGCCAAAAUUAAAAUCAAAAUCAAAUUAGACAAAAACAUAUAAAUCUAUCACCAAAGCUAAUUAAACCAGAAAAAUUGAAGAACUUACCUAGAUUUCUUACCCCUUUGAAAUUUCAAGGGACGGUGGUGGGUCAGCGGGAAGACUUGGUAGAGAGAGAAAGGUGGCGGCGUCUGUGGUGGCAGAGAUCGAACCCAGAUCUGAGGCUCAGUGCAAGAGAAAGGGACGAGGAGCUUGCUGGUGGCGGGGACGGGUGAGUCGGGUCGGGUCGGGAGGAGGAGGUUGUUGGCUCCGAGAAGGGUGCGAAGGUGGCCGGGUGAUGUUGAAGAGGGUUUUGACGGCGUUGAGAGUGGUGACAUUUGUGAGGACAAAGUCGAUGAGCCCGUGGCAGUUAGAGGUGGCGUUGGUGGGGGUGGUGUAGUUGAAGGUGGCGGCGGAGGAAGGAGCGGUGAGAAUGGAGAGAAAGGCCGGCAUGAGAGUGAUGGUCUAGAGAGAGAGAGAAAGAGAGCUAUGGGAGAAGAUAGGUUUCCUUCUAUUGAUAAGGUUGGUGAGUUUGUGAUUUAAAAGAAUUGAUAUGUUUUGAAAAAUUUUGGUUUGAUUUUUCAUGAAAUUUUACGCGGGAAGAUGGGCGCUCAAAUUUUUAGAACUUAAGCGACGGAAUGUUCUAUUUUCGUCGUCUAAGUGAUUCAUAAAUUUUAUUUUUUUAAAAACAUUCUGUCUCCUAAGUAAACAUUUCCGUCUCCUAAUUUCUACUUAGGCUACGGAAUGUAGUUCCAUCUCCUAAGUGAUUCAUAUAAAUUUUUUAAUUUUAUUUUUUCAAAAGCCGUCGUCUAAGUAAAAAUAUUCCGUCUCUUAAGUAGUACUUAAGCGACGGAAUCUCUUAAGUCGUUCUUAGGAGGCGAAAUCAAAAUAUUUCGUCUCCGAAGAACAACUUAGGAGACGGAAACUGUUUCGUCGCCUAAGUAGAAAAUUUCGUCGCAUAAGUACCACUUAUUAGGAGACGGAAUUUUUUAAUUCCGUCGCCUAAGUGUUAUUUUCCAGUAGUGUACCCCAAGCUCAAAUGGCUUUUCUUCUAGAUUCUUGUUGUAUUGGUCGUCGAAGAUCGAGGCUCUUCUUUCAUCCUAACACGAAAAAAAAAAAAAAAAAAAAGGUUCUUCUUUGUAAUAUAUUUUUCUUUUCGAAAAAUUAAAACUUGAGAGCCAUACAAGAUACACUACUAGAAAUCUAGAAUGAGUCCAGAAACUUGAGUCAUUAUUGUGUAGGACAAUUAUUCCUAUGCCCGGCCAAUCUCGUUGAUUUUCUCCUUAUUAUAUAUAGGGCAUUUGCUAAACCCUAAUCUUUUCAAACGUAACAUCAACCAUCUAGUCGGAAGUCUUUUGAGAUACCGCGAACAAACCGAAAGGAAAGGAGGGUGUCAAAGAAAACCAUCUAGUCGGCACCAUAUAUAUAUGGACCAAACCAAUGACGACGAGACCAACGACUCACCGCCGGAGUCCGAGUUGACCCACGAUUGCCUCACCAACAUCAUCACCCGCCUCUCCUUGAAGUAUCGAUGGCAUGUCAUGGCUGCUCGCCUGCAAGAUCCCGCAUCUCAACUCCGGCUUCGUCCUCGUGCCUAACUCAGUGCCGGAAGCGACUCGGUGGUUGGCACCCGAGAUCGGGAGAAAGGUCGACUCCAUUCUCCUGUCUGUUGCUGAAUGGAGCGAGGGGUCGCUCAGGGAGAUUCGCACCGGAAACUGCUCAGAUGUACGUGUCCCUCUCUUUUGUCGCUGAAAGGUGCUCUAACCUUGAGGUCCUUUCAAUCAAGUGCUCCUCCAAUGUGACUGAGGCAUCCAUGGCUCACAUAGCACUGCGGUGCUCCAUGAUGAUGGAACUUGACAUCAGCUUCUGCCAUGGAAUAUCUCACGAGUCUCUGUUGUUGAUAGGGAGGAAUUGCCCUAAUCUAACAAUCCUUAAACGGAAUUUUCUGAACAUUCCAGAUUAUUCUGGAGCAGCUGGGGUAGUUCCUUAUGGGUAUUUAAUGGGUAUUUAAUUAGAUAUAUUUUAUACUAAUAGGUCUGAAGAUAGAGUAUCAGAGGAAGCUGAUGCAAUUUGGAAAUCCAUGCCGAAUCUGAAGUACCUUGAACUAAGGUUCUCCAAGGUAACGGCUAAAGGGCUUGGUUUGAUCGGUAUAUGCAGGGUGUCGAAAACUUGAGUACUUGGAUGUGUUUGGGUGUGAAAACUUGACUAGACGUGCUAUCGACAAUGCAAUGUCUGAGCUCCCUAACCUGAAGGAGAUUAAGAAGCCAUAUUUCUACACAUGUAAUAUCAUGUAGCUAAUCACAAUCUAAUCUGCUACCUAAGCUUGGAAAUAAAACAUCAACGGGGCGGCACCAUCUAUCUGUAUUCUCUUUGUAGGUUGUUUUAUCUAAAUUCAGCUCGUUUUUUUUUUAUUAUUAUUUUUUAUUUUUAUAAAUAUGUGCUGCGUAUCAGUCCUGGUGUAAAAGCAUCAUACUUCCAAAUUCCAAUAUAUACAGGUGAAUAAAUGUUAAACCAUUUCAAAAAACAAAAAAUUAUAUGGUCAGUGACUUGAUUGUUCAUAUCUUGUUCAUAUGCUUUCUAAUAUAGAUGAAUUGAUGGACCUCUGGGAGUUAUGUCACUCGCGAAAACAUUUGGACACAACAGUAAUAUGUACACUACUAGUUUGAGAAGCUUCUAUACGAUACUACAGAUUGAACUGUCGGUUCCCUGCAUGUUUUGACACAGACAAGCACACAUGUACAUUCCUUUCAAACCAAGUGAUGGUGACAAAAAAUGGUAAAAAGGUUGAAGUAUCAUCCUCUUUCCCGGUUUCUUCAACUUAGCAUCAUUACAACAAAUAUUUGCUUUACCCAAGUCCCCAAGGGUCUUCUAUAGGGUCACAAAGUCGAAGCAGGAGCUGGUGUUGGCACUCGAAGAACUUGUUGCAACAACCGUGCCGCAAGUCGCUGUGUGAUCCCACCAAUAACUUUCCCCCCAAGGCUGCGUGCUUCAGGUUGUUGAAGGACCUGGUGAUAUAUGAUGAUACUUCACUUAAUAAAUGAUUAAAAAGAAGUCGAGUUUUUUAGCUAGUUCAAAAACAAGUCCGAUUUUAAAUCAAUUCAAAAGAGUGCAAACAGAUAACUGAUAAAAACUAAGAAUGACAUUGUCGGCAGAGUGCCAGGAAGGAUAUAUUCAAUUAUCAAGCACAUAAUAUGACCUAAACAAUGUUGCUAAAAAGGUUUGGAGAUUAUAUAAACACCAAUAAUUGUGUUCGUUUGAAAGAUAUAAGGCAAUUUAAAAUCUGGGAUUCUUUCUAUCACAAUUGGAUUCUUCAAACCUUGCACCAAGACCACCAAGACCUGGUACUAAAAAUUUCUCAUCCUACUAUUAAAAACAAAAAAAAACAAAAAUUCUCAUCCUAUUCACAAUCACAGAACGUGUAAGCAAAAAUACGUUAACAUGAUUAAACAGCUGUAAUAACAGUAGGAAAAACAAGAAAGAAAAAUUGUACAAUAUAUCACCUGAAGUUUGAAACAUGUUCAUGAUUUAAUAUUGCAUGCAAUUAUAAGCAAUUAGGUGCUCAUAGCAGGAUUAAAUCGUGACAGCUUCUUCUCCCAGUAAUAGAAAGACAUUUGCCAAAGGUAAUGCAUAAAACAAUUAUAGUUCCUCAGUUCAUGCACUUCAUGAAUUAUGACAGACUAAGAUCUAGUCUACUAAAGCAAGACAACAAAACAUAACAGCUUUUCCACCCAGAAUUAGAACAAACAUAGGAAAAGAUGCAGAAAGCAAGCAACGCUCUUACCAGUAAAAUGGGCUGCAAAAUCGCAGGGUCAAAGCUUUCAGAGGUUCUCAGAAGUCCCCAAAUUCUGAUUACUUGGUCUCGGAGUGCUAUCAUGCUUUCUUGUUCAGCGACGCUCAUUGCCAGAGGUCCAAUAGCAUUGCCAUUAACAAUCAUACCCUUCAUAAAUUCGGGCAUAGAGUUGUAUGUGUCAAUAGCUGUGCCCCAAAUAAAGGCUUCAGUGACACGCACAGCCUCCUUUACAACUAAAGUCCGAAGUUCUUCACCAUCCGGACCCAAUAAUAACUUCAAAGCAGGCUGUAAAGCAUCUUUUGCAGAGAAAUCUCUAUCUUUGCUUCCUUGAACCAGCAAACUUUCUAGUCGAUUCCACCUGCAGUGAACCACAAGAAAGAAGAUUAUCAGGUAGUUCAGAAAACCAACUGAGAACAACCUCCAUUUAAAUAGAAGUAGAGAGAGAGAAACAGUGUCCGUGCCUAAACUUCCCAUCCUGGAAAAGCAACUCAAUAAGAGCAUCUCUGAGAUACGGAUUUGGAUCAGUCAGAAGCCUUUUAGCAAAAUACGGGUAUGAAGCAGCCAGCACCUUGAAAUUAGGAUCAGCAUAAAGGGCUAGACCUUCUAGUACUGUGAGUGACCUUAGUAUCAAUGCGUAAUAAGCUGGGACUGCAAGAGAUACAAAACAAAUGUCAAAUCAUUGGACUCUAUCACAAAAUAGUUUAGAAUACCACAUCAUUAUUAAAGUUGUAUGACAACACCAUUUCAUCAAAAUUCAGAAAUCUAAAGGACUCAAUUGUUUUUCUUCACCAUUAAUAGUUAAAAAGUACUUGUCCUUAUCAGGAGGGAAUGGCAAAAACCAAAAAGAAAAAAAGAAAGACGACGAGUACUCUGAAUAAAUCACUGAUAAAGUACAACCUAACCCUUUGAACGGACAACUCAAGACAGGUAAGAAUGACUAAUUGUACAGAGGUAUUACAGAAUUUAGAGUUGAUAAAGUUCACAAUAAAACUGUAGUAUCAACUCACCAUUAAAUGGAUAUUCAUACAAAACAGCACCUAGACCGUCCACCAGUGUUUUAAAAUUCAGUUCACUAACAGUAGAAUUCAGCGCAUCAUCAAAGAAGUUCCGAAGAGCUGGUACAAUUGGAGAAACAUCUACAUCAGGCGAUAAGAAAUCUAGAGCAUAGUAAUCAUUAGCCAUAGCUUCAUAAUCCCGAUUAACCAUGUGAACAACAUGACCGAUGAUAGCAAAUCUAGCUUCUUCUGGUGUUUCACUCAUCAUUCCAAAAUCAAGAAAGGCAAGCUUUCCUUCAGGUGUUGCCAAGAGAUUCCCAGGAUGAGGAUCUGCAUGAAAAUAUCCAUACUCAAGUAGCUGUCUGAGGCUGCAUUGUAUGCCAGUGUUAACCAGAUCCAAUACUUUCAACCCUUGACCCUCAAUGGCAGCUUGCUCAUUUAAUUUGACUCCAUUUACCCACUCCAUCGUCAACACUUUGGUGCUGGUGUAAUCCCAGAAAAUGUCUGGGACGAGAACAUCUUUCUUGUCAGCAUACAAUUUCUUAAAUCUCCUCGCAUUUUGUCCCUCCUGCACGCACCUGUAAAAAUUAACAUUCAAACCCAAAAGACUCUUAUACAAAUUAUGAAGUUGCAGCUUCUAUGUUUAGCACUUUUCAUUUUUAUUAGCACAGUGGAUAAAAUUAUACACCUUAUCGUGAUGGCAUGUUUUUGAAAACAAAAAGCUGUAGUUGCAAAAUUUUGUCUUAUCAAGAGCUAGAAAAUGACUAGUGAUGAUGGAGCAUGCCAGAAAUAAUGUGGAUAAGAACACUAAUUUACCUGCACAUAGUUGAGCUCUUGAUAAACUCUGCGUGCAAAUUCAUCAAUAAGGGCCACAACAUCUGUGGUUACGAUGUCAACAUAUUUGUUUAUGAAAAAUCCUAAAUUCCGUAUGAGAAAGAAGUCUAGCCCUAUAGCCUCUUCAAUGCCAGGGCGCUGCACCUUAACAGCAACAUCCUGCCCAGUUGACUUCAGUUUAGCUUUGUAGACUUGACCUAAACUAGCUGCUGCAAUCGGAGACGGAGAUAUGGUCGAGUAAAUCGAGUCAAGUGGUACUCCCAACUCCCUCUCAAUGCACGCAAAUGCUUCUGCAUCCGGAAAUGUCGGCAAAGCAUCCUGUCCAGUUAUGAACCAAGUAAAAAUUGUUACAACAUCAUAGCACUACAUAAUACACAUAGCCAAAAGAAGGCCAAUUCCCUAUCUAUUGUUUUCCAUUGUCAUCCAUAAACCAAAAAAAUAUGUGCAUUACAAAACAGCAACUAAAUCGGAAUACCUGAAGCUCAGAGAGCUCCUCCAGAUACUCCGACGGACACACGUCAGGUCUUGUUGACAAUCCCUGACCCAAUUUGACAAAAGUAGGUCCCAAACGAGUGAAAAUUCGCCGGAGCUCCACAGCUCGCCGUCUUUUAUUCUGAUCAAGCACGCCUUUCCUUUGAUCAAUGAACAAAUUCAACCCAAACGUACCUAGAGCUGUCACAAUCUUCAGCGUCCUCCGAAUCACCUGCACACAAAUUCCACCACAAACUUUCAAAAACAAACGCAAUUUCAUAAUCAAUCACAAAACAAAGCUAAGUUCAAAGUGAGGCGUCACCUUGACUGGGCUAGACCCGUACUUGUCGACCAGAAGCUCGGGGGUGUAAACGGAGGCAUUCGCCGCACGUGCGAAAGCCCUCGCCUCCGCCUGAAUAUCCUCCGCACGAUCGACGGCGGUGCCGGCUCGAUAGAUCUGCACCUUCACCGACUUACCUUCGUCGUCGUCUCUAACUCUUAUGGCCGCCGGUCUCGCCUCCACCAGAGCUGCCCUCGCCAGCUUCACUCUCACUCUGACGCCGCUCUUUCUCUUACCACCACAACUCUUUAGCCUCGUCGGAGCCGGAGCCCAACCACGCGGCCGGCACAGCGUUAACGGCUGGAUAACGGCCACAGCGACGCCUCCCAUGGCUACCUAGUUGCUCUGCAAUUCUUGCUACUGUGUGGAGCCCACUCUGCAAUGUAAGAACUUUCUUCUUUUCUGCUCUGAACUUUGCUACAGAGAUUGGGAGAGGGGUCAAAUUGGCUUUGCUGCAACUAACUUUGAAAGAAAUCGGAGUGUUAUUGUUGGGUGGCUAAAUAAUGAUGACGUGUCGGGUCGGGUUUUCAAUUAGGCGGGUAAAAAUAGGAGCCACAUUUCUCACCACAUAAUGAGCGAGGCGCGUCGGUUGUAUCGUUGUCGUUCAUUCAUGUCUGUUUGGUUCGUUUCCGGUGAUAAUUGGAUAGGAUUUAUAGGUUUGUCGUGUUUUAUUUUUCCAGUGUUUGGUGUUGUUAUGCUGAAGCGGCUGAUGGGUCUCGAGCAAGGAAGAAAAUAUCGGUGAUUACGGAAAUUUCGACCUUUCAAAAUAUAGAAAUUUUCAUGGAAAUUUCGGGGAAAUAUCGAUUGCAGUAAAAAAAAAUGAGAAAAUUGACGGAAAUUGAUCUAUAGGGAGUUGUAGUAAAUUAAGAUGAAAAGGUUAGUGCUGAACCGUUAAUAAUUCUUAAAAGUUUACUUUAAACAUCUUUUUUUUUUUUUUUGAUGGCUGGAAACCCAAAGGAAGGCUAGGUCAUCACGCCUUAAAUACAUAUGAUACAUUUCACAUAAAAUUACAUGAGUACUUUAAAACCACAUAGAAGACCUAUGAGGUACAAAAUUUUCACUAUCUUUAUCAUCUCUCUGUGCAGAGUCUUCAGUGUAUUGUGAAGAAUAGUCAUUAAAUGAUACCUCACCUUUGUAGUUUUGCAUGUAUUGACUUACAUGCCAACCAUAUGGGUCAAGGGGGGCUGAGUAUGGAUUUCCAUACUGGAAGUUAUAAUAGGGAUUGGGCAUUGCUUGACCUUGGCCAUAACCAUAAUCAUUGGAAGAUUGUCCUUCCGACUGUGACCAUGAGUUAUCACUUAAUUGCACCCCGUAAGGCAUGAUAUAUACUGGAUAAGGCAUUGCCAGAUUUUGGCCGUAUGGGUAUGGUCCAUCAUUGCUUCCUCUCACACCAAAUGAGUUAAUAGAGGGAGAUAAAGAAUCAUCUUCAUGCCUUGACAUGCUUCCUUGGCCUCUUUCUCUUGGUGUAUAAUUUUUUCCUGUAGCACCGAUGCCGGGUCCUGCUCUCCUACUUCCAUGAUCUCCAUCUUGUGUUGCAUGUGUAAAUUGCGGUUCACAAGUGAAUGGACUCAUCUGAUCAACUUGAUUUCCACUGUAACCUUGAACUCCAUGAUCACCUCCAUUAUCAUCACCUCUGAUGCUUGAUGAGCCUCCUGAUCUGGUGCUACUAGAGCUCUCAUUUAUCAUGGAAGGAACAUGUGAGUCACGAGACUCUCCACGAGAGAAAAUUAAAAUAUUAGCUCGACCCACUAAUGCAUCGAUAGUUUCUCUAUCAGGUCCUAUAACCUCUUCUUGAAUUACUUGUUCAACAUUUAUUCCUUGCGCACGUGCUUCACGAGCAACUGUAGGAGAUGGAUUACGUUCCUCGUCAUCUAGAUGAAGUGGCCUUAUCCAUUCAUAAAGUUGAUCUCUUUCUUCAUCAUCAAACUCGGUACCAAUAUCAGGGUCUGUCUAUUAUGCAGAGCUGCAUGAGAUGUAGACUGCCUUUUCAUUACUUUAUUUUACAAGUGGAAGGGAUGACCUGCUAGUGACUUGUGCUACAGGUUUUUACUACUGGGUUACAAAUUCUUGCAGAUAACUUAGGAAAAUCCUAAACAGAACUAGCCUUCAACAUGCCAAAAAUUUCACCUACGACCUUUAGUCCAAAUGGUUACUGGGUAUGGCGGAAUCACUGCUGUCUGACUAGGAAUAGUCUAAAAAAUCUACAGAGAAAAAGUAACAACAAAAUUUAUACAGACAUAUAACAAAAGGUAAAAUAUUUUUGUGACGGGAUUUUGAGCAUCAAGAUGAAUUUAUUCAACCAUAGAUACAAACAUAAAACCUAGAGCCUCGCUCUUAGGUAAACAGCUAAAAGUUAUUUAGCUACUCAUAAUUACAAGAUAAAUACUUACUUGUAUUUUACAGUACUUCACACCAGAUGACUCACAUACACUCUUACUCAUAACUGUAUUACAAAGACUGUUUACUGGCUAUACUACUUCUUGAGAAAGGUUGAGAGAUUCUUCAAAAACUUCUGUCUUCUUCUUUUCUUCGAUACCUUCCACCUGAAGUUUGAGGGCCUUAUAUAGGGACGGAACUUAAGCUAAAAAUAAAACACAACUGUGCAGAGUGGAGGACAAGAGGGAUCUAAACCUGAUAACUUUACUUUAGAAAAAGUAAAGUCGUUUGAUUUCUUGUGCUGAUGGCUCCUUUUCUUUUUAGUAAAAGAAAAGUAGUUUGGCAUGAAGCGUCGGCCAUCGCUCAAUUAUCCAACAUGUUUACUAUGUUGUGAUAUGUUUCUGGAUCUUCAGAAUAUCCCACUGAGGAGUUAGGACCACUAUUUUCCCAAUCUUGUGCCGUGCCUUCAUUUCCACCGUCGAGGUCUGAAUCAUAGGGAUAAGAAAUCUUAUAUUUUUCUUUAGUCUCAACUUUUUCUAGCCACUUGGUGGUAGCUAGAGUGCAAUCCACUUCAUUUCUCAUAAGAGCUGCGAAAAAGUCACAGUUCUCAAGAGGAGGAUGAUUAUAGCAAGUGACCAUUAUUUUUUCUCCACUUGCCAGGAGGCUUGAAUCAUAGUCUCUCAGAACUAUAUUUUUGAUAAUUGCUAUGGUCAUAGCCUUCAUCCAUGGAAUGCUCUGAUUUGGUCUCCCAUUGCCACUGGUAAUGGCUGGCUUUUGCACCGGACUUUGGAUUAAUCUGACAUGAUGAUAUGGAGAGAUAUAAUUCAUCUGUCCAUUUACCACGAUCCAUUCUGGUGGUGUUGAAAUGAAUUUUAUCCUUAGGAUACAUCUAUCAGGCCUGAUAUUCUUGACAACUUCGGCUAUUAUUUCUGGAAAACCUUUAAGAUCUUCAUUGGUUUUUGUCCAUAAAUUAUGAACAAAACCAUUUUCUAUAAGCCAUAGCUUGUGCUUCUGAGGAUGCUCUGCUUGAACAUCAACCAGGUAUCUCCCAUAAUAUGAGCCAGGGUUAUAGAUAAUGUUCCUGGAAGAACAUCUUUUCCUUCACCUAAGAGGUUAUGGAAAUUAUACCAUUCUGAUUCCUUUAAGGCUAGCAUAGGAAUUUUUACGCUUUCAGGACUCUCGAGGUAUACAACUUUAGAUGGUUCUGCUAGAACUCCUUUGUCUUUUGUAUGGACUCCAUACAUUUCUUCGGUUAAAGCCUUGAGAGUUUGAAGUAAAUGAGCUUCAUUUUCCUCAUAGAAAGAAUAUAGAAUAUUAUCAAUAAUAAUCUUCUGUUUAAAGGCCAAUAGCCUAUCUGUUCUGAAAACUGGCUUCUGAAAGAUCUUCAAUGAUUGAUCAUGGAUGAUCUUCUUUCUUAUGACUAAAGGUAGCUUAUUUGCCCUAAGAGGGUCUUUCCUGCUUUUUGGCAAAGCAGCAGCUAUCAACGGUCUUGAUAUGCCUUUACCGUCUGCCGUUUGAGACGGGCUAGCCAGUCUUUUCCCCUGAGACUGAUCAGUUAAGGCUGAUCCUUUCGGACACAGCAAAAACUCAUUUACGAGUUUAUCUUCAUUUGUACCGCCUGAAUGACUGGAUCGACCAUCAUCUUCAGAGUCUGGUUUAGGCUUGAUUCUUGAAGAUUGACUAGUCUCAGUAGUUCCAUAAGAGACUAUAUAUUGAUAACCAGGUCCGUCAUGAAGGGGUCCUACGGUUUUAUCACCGCUUUUGAAACUUUCCCAGAGCUUCUUUUCCUCUGAUUCUGGUUUUCGACUUCUGGGAUUACGACCUUCUCUAUCGAACAUCGCCAUCUCUCUUGUAAGCGCGUCAGGCAAAAAGUUCUUGUUUCCUGCAACCAUUUCAACAUCAUAUUCAUAUUGAGUUAAAAACAUUUGCCAUCUCAACACUCUUCCUCUAUCUGCAACAUCAGUCAAUUUGUAGUUUUUGAAGUUUUUUACUCUUUUGUUGCCAGUUCUAACUACAAAUUUGUUUCCUAGGUAUGCCUCAGCACCCUUAAUGCUUUUAAUUAAGGCAAGGACUUCCUUGUCUCCGGUGGAAUAGUUUAACUCGGCAGCGUUAAACUUUCCUGAUAGAAAUUUACAAAUCUUUUCAUGAUUUAUAUUUGGAGCAACAGCUAAAACAACUCCUGCCCAGUAAUAAUCAUUUGCACCAGUCUGCAAAAUGAUCAGAUCUCCUUCUUCUGGUAAUUGUAAAGGAGGAAGAUUUUUUGUUAAUUCUUUAAUUUUUCUGACAGUAUUACUGUCAUCAGCUGUGAAAGACCAUUUUUUUCUUAGAACUUGUUUUUGGAGAGAGGAGAGCAGUUAGACUGCUAACUUGGGGAAUAAAAUCUCUCGCAAAAUUAACAACUCCCAAAAAUCUCUGUAGAGACUUCGCAUCUGGGAUAUUGUCUGGAAAUUAGCUGAUUUUCUUAACAAUGUGAUCUUGGAGACGAAUCUCUCCAUCCUUAACAUGAAUGCGAAGGAAAUCAAUUUCACCUUUAAUAAGAUGAAUCUUUUUUGUCCAAGGAUAAUUCCUUUUUGGACAAUAAGCUUACACACCUGCUCAAGAUGCUUUAAAUGCUCAUCUAUAGUUUUUGAGAAGACAAGAAUGUCAUCUAUGUAAACUAUGAAAAAGUCUGCAACUGGUUUGAAGAUAUUAUCCAUUUUCCUUUGGAAAAUAGACGGAGCUUGCUUUAAUCCAAAUGGCAUAACUAACCAUUCGUAAUGCCCUUGAGGAGUUCCAAAAGCUGUCAAAGCAAUGGAAUCAGGAUGCAUUUUGACUUGCCAAAAGCCUGAUUUUGCAUCAAACUUAAGGAAAAUCUUUGCACCUCUAAGUCUGUUGAUGAGAACUCUUACCUGAGCAAUUUGAUAACCGUUUUUAACGGUCUUUUUAUUUACAUCUCUGUAAUCAAUCACCAUUCUAGCUUUUCCUCUUAGUUGUUCAGCAUGAUUUCUUACCAAAAAUGCUGGGGCAUGAUGAGGGCUAUUCGAAGGCCUAAUUAACUUCUUUUCAAGAAGCUCUUGGAUCUGAAUUUCCAUUUCCUUCCUAUCUUCUUCUCUAUAGUGAGGAAUGGCCUUGACAUGGCAAAUAGUAUUUGCAUCAUGCAUUUUGAGCUGACAAUAUACUGGGUCUCUUUCCCAGUACAACUGAGGAUCUUCACUGAUUACUGGUUUCAGCAAGUUUUCUAUUUCUGUGAGAGUCGGUAUUUUCUUUUGUUCUGCUUUCUUAGCAUAUACCUUUAAGUUAUGUUCUCUGAUGUAUUCUUCUUCUCCAUCAGAACUCUCAUCGUUAGAAAUUUGAUAUUCAGAAUUAGUCUCUGAUUCAGAUUCUUCUGAACUUGUUGAUUCAUUUAUCAGUAUUUCACUGUGUCCCUUUUCUUACAAAAUUGGUAAAACUGGUUUCAGAAUUGGCUUAUAAUCACCACUCUUCGCAAGCGUCUUCUCAUAAGGAUCGGUGAAACCUUUGGUUGUAACGCGUACCGCGUCUGUCAAUCUAGAUUCCCAAUGAAAUCUGUUAUUUUUCUCAACUCCAAUCAUUUCUGAGGUUUGGAUUACUGUUUGUUGAAGAAGGAAGUCAUUUCCUAAUAACAAAUCAGCAGUCUGGCCUUCGCAUUGCCAGAGUAUUCUGAUGAUAAAAGUUCCUCCUCCCAAAGAAACUUUUACAUUUCGAGCCAUGGUAUUCAUGAUGAUUUUGUUUUCUUCUAUGGCAACUCCAGUAACUGAUCUUGGAGAUUUUUCCCAAAAUUCUUCAGGGAUUGCAUAUCUUUUGGCAAGAGAGUACCCUGAACCAGUAUCUACAAAUGCGUGUAGAUGAUAUUUCCUAUAAUUGGGAAACUUCAGUCCUAUAGUAAUAUAAUUACUAUAUAAGCUUGUUUGGACUGACAUUACUUGUUCUUGCUUUUCUGGAGCAACAAGUAAAUCUGUGAAAGGAGUAACUUGUCUUUCAGCAGUUAUGGAAUCAGGAGGAUUAAUACUAAUUAUCGGAUCGGCACUUAUCCCAGCAAUCGUGGGAGGAAGAGAGUCAAAAGACUCUUUUAUCUUCUUGUUUUGGCUUAAUGAAGUUAUAAACUUCAUCGUGUUCAUAUCCUCUUUAAGAUUUUUUUCUUGUUCUUUUCUGUGGAAUAUAAUAUAUUCCUCUUCUACCAAGGUAUGAGCAUCUUUGUCCUUAGUUUUUCUCUUGAGUUUUGCGAUAAAACAUUCUUGAUGAUAAGUUUCUCCUGUACUCUCGCAGUACAUGGGGAUAGUACUAUCAUCAUCGCAUUCACAAUAAUCACAUACAAAUCUUCCAGGAUUGGGAUGGAAGGUGCUGAUAAUAUCAGCAUUUUCUUCUUUCCAAUUUUGUAUUUGUAAUACAAAUAUAGGACGAUGUCCUAUUUCUUUUUCAUCUUCUUCAGAAUAUUCUAAAGUACUUUCUGUUUCACUAUCUGAUGGGUACUCAAGAGAAUAUACUGAUUCAUUCUCUUCAUCAGAAUAAACAACUUCAAAGCCUUUUAGAUUAGCAUAAUCUAUGGCUUCUUCAUAUUCGGCCAGUAAGACUUUUGAAGUUCUUUUAUCCUUUUUUGGACACUCAUUCGCAUAAUGUCCCUCCGCCUUGCAGAGCCAACAUCUGCACUUCUUUGUUUCUCUAGAACCAGAAUCUGGUUUCUUUUUCCUUCUAAAAAAUUUCUUUUUUGGAGAAGUUUGAGAGGAUUGUCUUUUCUGAUAUCCAGAACUUUUUCUGAACUUAUACUUCUUUUUAGAAGCGAAAUUGCUCUUUUGUUUGCUACCAGAAAAUUUUCUUCUGUAUUUUUUUUUUUCAAAACAUGACAUCCCUAUUGUGUCGGGGUAUCCAAAAUUUUUGGACACAUGUUUUCAACUCCUCUGAGUUGUUUCUUGGCAGUCUUAGAUUUUCUAUUCUCUGUAUAUUGUUUUCUUAGGAGAUCCCUAACUCUUUCUGCUAUUCCUCCAACAGUAAAAUACUGAAAAGGGUUUUCUUCCAAUGAUUGUGCUACUGCAUCGUUCCAGGGUUCUGGUAAUUUUCUAUAAUAUGUUCUGAUGAGAUCAUUAUUUUCAAUGUCUCCGAUGGUGCAGUAGUAGUUUUGAAACUCAUUGGUAUAUUCUUCGAAAUACCUCAUAUUACAAAUACUCAAUUUUUGAAUAUUUGCUUUGGCUCCUUCUUUAGAUUGCUCACUAUGCCCAGUGAUAUCCCCGCAAAAUUGUGCAUAGAUAGGGACUGCAAAAUCUAAAGGGCUAUUAGUCUGAGCCAUUUUUGCUGCCCAAUUUGUCCACUGAGAACUUCUUUUGAAGGACUGGUACCAUUUCUGAACUAUUCCAGUUAAGGUAGACUCAUAGUAGGCAUGAUCUUCUUCGUAGGCAUAUUUGGAUAACACAAGAGCCUGAGUUAGCUUUAAACUAGCAACCCAUUUGUCUAUUGCUUUUCUUUUAUCUCCUACCUGGUCCAAAUCCAGAUAAACACCUCUUUCGGACACUGAUUGUCCCCAUUUAGGUUCUGUAGGGAUGUAUUUCUGAGAACUUCGUUCUCCAUAUCUUCCUGUAGGAGCCUGUCCUUUAGGAAGCUUGAUAUUCUUUUCCCGAAUGAUCUUUGUAGGAUUGUUGGUGAUGUUCUGUAUUACAGUAUGACCACCUCCUGGGGGCGUCUGUUUUUCACCAUCUGUAUCCAUUGAUGCUCCAGAGUGUUCUGGUUCAUCCUUUGCUGCUUGAUAAGGAAGAAUCUUCCUCUUUUUCUUUCCAAAUUGAGCUUGAGAAAUUUCUUUAAUGAUCUUCUCUAGUUCUUCUGGAGAAUCACAAGUCUCGGCUUGUGCAUAUAAUUCUCUUAAUUCUCUUAAUUCUCUUGCUUGGAACAUUUUCAUAGGUCUUUUAAUAUCCUCUUCUUCUAGAGAUUCUUCAUUAUAAACUGUUUUAGUUUCAGAGGUACUAGCUUCUUCAUAGUUUGCAAAAGAGUGCCUAUGAAAUUGUAAGCUGCUUUUUCCUCCCGUAUCUUCAUAAACUGAAGCAUUGGAGCUUUCAAGUUGUCUGACCGGAGGGGUCAGAUUCCAUUCUCUUGGGAAUGUUACUUCCUGCCACUUCGUGACAUGCUUUUGCUGAGAAUUAUUUUUUGGGUUGGUGAGAACAGAUGUGGUAAUUCCAGGGCUAUUUAGAAACCUGGUAUUUGGAGUCACAUUUGUGCUCAUCAAUUUAUAAUAAAUACGAUAAUCUAUCGCUAGUUCCAUCAUUCCUUUUUUCAUAGAAAUCCCAUCUGUCUUGAUUCUCAAUCUUAGACAGUGAGCAGCAUCUCUGAGAUGUGUUGUGAAGUUUGGAAAAACAUUGAAAUAUGCAACCUGGUUGCACAAAGAAGCUUCUACUGUUCCUAACAGACUUUUCUUGAAAUCUGUUAUUCUAUCGUCUUGUAAAACACAUAGAACAGAACAGUCAAUACCAUCUCUGGCUAAGAGUUUUAUCCCUACUUGAACUGCACCAAUAUGCAUAUAGGAGUAUUUUUUCUGGAAUGCUUCACUUACUUUUUUUGGAGUUAUUAGCCUGAUAUCUGUUUCUCCUCCUGUGGCUGGAACGGUUAAUUCAAGAAUCUUGAAUCUAUGAGAAUCCAUAAGGAAAUAUCCUUUCUUAUAGAUCUCAUUAAAUCUAAAUCUAGGGGCAGAUGCUUCACGCACGCUAGACUCGAUUUCAUUAUACUCAAAUUCUUGAGCAUUUAUCAGCUGAACUGGAGCUGUGUUUCUUUUGCUGAGAAUUCUACUUAACAUCUUCAUGUCUCUUUUGGUAUUUGGUUUUGAAGAUUUCCAUUCAAGUAGCUUUGGUUCACUAAACCUUAGUCUACUUUCUCCCAUUGGUAGGGGUGGAGAAUUUAUGAUGAUUUUACUAGCUACACUUUGAGCCAGUGAUUCUUCAUCUAUUUUUUCAUAAUUUUCUCCUUCCUUCAUUUUCUAUAUAAUCUUUUGUAGGCUAGAGAUUCUAUUAUGUAACUCUCGAAAUUGAAUUUCGAGGUCAGUACCUAUCUCUUGGAGAUAAGCGAUGUUAUAAUUCUGUUGAAGGAUUAUUGCUUCUACAUUCUCGGCAAGUUUUUCUGUAGGUUGAUGAAAGCCAAUAGCUUUAACACCUUCCUGUUUUACUUUUAGAUCUACUCUCUGAUUCAUCCUAUUCUGGUAAUGAGAGUUUCUAAAAGCGUCUUCAGGUUUUCUUGAGUAUUUCUUAGUUCUACUGCUUGUUGAUGAAUAUUGUUAGCAAGCUUUUCAGUACGAACUAAUUUCUUUUCAAUAUCUGUUAGAUAUUGUUUUUCUUUGAGGUAAUCUAGCUUGAUUUCAAGCUUGGUAAUUUUUGAAUUUAUUUCUUUAAGUUGAUUAAUCCGUAGAUUAAAUCUUUCGAGUUGCUCUAUAACCUUUACAGAGGUCUUAUUCUUAGAUAAAUGAUCUAAGAACUCGAUUAAGCUUGGUCUUGAGGGAUCAAGCUCUUUUACUCCGAUCUCCUGUUGGAGAUGAAUAUGCUCGUUGUAUAGAGUAUUUAGUACUCUACAAAUAUAUUCAAUAGAGUAUUGAUUUUCUUGUAUGUGCCUUGAAUGAAAGCACACUUCCCACUUAUCAGUUCAUUUUGUAGUACAAAAAGACUGAUAGUUUUUCAGUUUGGAUUCUCUUUUGUUGGUUGAGAGAAGCCAACUCUGUGGCAUAAGCCUUUUGUCACCUGCUUUUGAGCCAAGCAGGCUCUGAUACCAGCUAUGGCGGAUCUAACCAGUGCUCAAAAUAUCAAGAGGUUUUUGAUCUUCUUCAAAAGUUUCUUGAAGAACUUCAAUUUCUUCUCUUGACUCGUAUAUUCUUCGUUGUAGUUGGAAGAUAAUAUCCCAAUAAUUUUUGGUACUUCUAGGAAGCUUGUCUCUGUUUUCUUUUAAUUUCCUCAAAUUUCUUCUUUCUUCUUGCAGUUCUUUAUAAGAUAAUUUAGCUUCUGCUAAAAAUUCUAAUCUGGUAGCAAUAUAUUCUUCAAUUGUAAAAGAUUAACUGUCUACCUUUGAGUAAAGAGGAUAAGUCUAUAUUUGUAUUAUGGUAAGUAAACAAAUUCAAAUUUAUAGGCCCACCAUGCUCCGUCAAUUUUUGAUAAUUUACUAAAGAUAAAAGUAAAAAAAAAAAACUAAAAAGAAAGUGAAACCUAUUGGGAAGGUUUCCCGGUUGAGUUUUUAGGUAAAGCUCUUGAUGACUUAAGCUAUAUUGGCAUCUAGUAGGAUAUGCAUAACAUGCAGUGCUGUAUACUAGAAAAUUCCCCAAUAUCAAAGACAUCCAAUGGAUCUUUUUGGUCCACAUGAGAAUGAGCUGCUUCUCUAUCUCGAAGUUUAAGCUUCAUGUUGUAAUAGCAAAAAACCAAUUUCUCUAGGCGAUUAUAUCCCAACUUGUUUCUUUGCUUAGUAUGGAUUAGUGCAAAUGUGCUCUAGUUCCUCUCACACGCAGAUGCUGACGCCGUUUGUGAUAAUACUUUGAUAGCUAACCUUCUCACAGUUGGGGCACUACUCCCAUACAUUACCCACCAGUCGGCUAUCAAAAAAAAAGAAAAAAAUACAUAAGUUAGUCUCAAUAGAGUAAUUACGUGGACUCGUACGAAAAACUUAAACUUAUAAUAUACUUACUAGGAGACAUCUCUGUUCUCGAUGCAAUAGCUGCCGGUGUGCCAAAAUUUAACCUUGCGUCUUUAAAAUAUGUAAGCUAAAAUAUUACGCAUAUAAUAUAAAAAUAAUUAUCAUUUAUUAUCAGAAUUAAAAAUAAAUAAGUUGCAACAAGAGGUGUUAAAAAAUAACCUCUUUUCCAAAUUGUCCUAUUGUUGGACAGUUAGGAUCCAAUUUUGCAAAAACAUUAUGCACAGCUUCAAGAAGCUUAUAAUUAUCUCCGACGCCUGGUUUAUAGUUGUAUCGAGGAUUUAAGUAAUACCCUACAUUAAAUAUAUACAACAAUUAGUAAAAGUGUAAAACUGUAAAAUACGUCUACAUCUAAUCAAUAAAGAUUUUAAAGAAUAGGUUUAGCAUAUACCUGCCGAAUGCAAAUCAUGCCAUAAAGUUUUAAACCACCGAUCAUUGAUAAUUUUUACCACCCACUUUGCACCAUGUUUUUGUUCCAACUCUUGUUUCACUACGCGCAUCAGCUCAUAAACGGCACCCAUGGUUGGACAGACUUCUGUGUCUACGAUUCGUAAUACUUUAUAAAGGGGCUCAGAUAUUUGACAAACAUGUUUCGCUUGAGUCCAAAAUUGUUGAUCGAGUACAAUAUUUUCAACGACGUGUCCAUGUUUGGUGCGGCUGAAACUGCUGCCUUCCCACCAUUCACUUGUAAAUAACUGUUUCAAUCCCGCCUUCUUCUUGAUCAAGCUUUCUAAGGAAAUGAAGUUUGUUGCGAAUCAAGUUGGUGUAGCCCGAAUAAUUUCUCCUUUGCAAAACUCUCGCAUCUUGGUCAACAACAAAUUAUGAUUGUAAACGUACUUUGAAAUAAUUUUACCUUUAUCAAUCACCAUAGAAAUUGCUCUUUCUUUCCCAUUUCUUCGAACAUGAGAUCGAUGCAGUGAGCUGCACAAGAAGUCCAAUAAGCAUUAUGGUUCUUCAUCAACUUCUUACCAGCUUUGACAUAAUUAGCAGCAUUGUCAGUCACCACUUGAACCACAUUGUGCUCUCCAACCUCUUUUAUAACUCCCUUCAACAAUUUGUAUAUAUACUCAUGCUCUUUCUUCUCACCAGAAGAAUCAACAGACCUGAGAAAAACAGUGGUACCUUUGGAGUAGACCAUGAAAUUUAUGAUGGACAAUCUAGUUGGCCCUGCCCAUCCAUCGCACAUGAUCGUGCAUCCAUAGGUCUCCCAUGUUGCCUUGAGUGUGUCAACAUAUUCAGAAAUGUCUUUGAAUUCCAUUUCCAAAUACUUGUUUCUUAUCUCAUAAGGUGUAGGGGGCAAUACUCCUUGUCAUGCUCUUUGGAUUCCAAUCACCAUAUUUUCAAAAUGAGGAGAUGCUACUUUCGCAGCAGGGACAUUAUCAUAAAUAAAAAACUUACUGAUGAAACGACCCACCAUCUCCUUAAUUGAACCUUUAGAGAAGGAAUCUUUGAUAUUUUUUUGACGGGCUUGAAAAGAACUUUUAAGAUUUGCUGCUAAUGGUUGUGUUGGUUAUGACUCUCUAACACUUGUUGCUCGUCGCAUGUGUGUGUCACAACUAGACUCAUCUCGGUUAGGAAUUUUGUGGAGGUGUUCUCUAUUCCAUUGUGCUUCUUUAGAGUCACGAAUUUCUUGUCGAUAAUGUCUGAGUUCCUCAGGGCCCAUUUCCUCAUCAGGGUACACUUCAUCGUCACUAUUAUCUUGUGAGUCAAUUAAUUCUCCACGAAGCUCUGCUCAAACCUCUUACAUCAUAUGUGCUUUUUUUGUCUUUUCUUUUUGCUUACUCAUCAAUAAGGAUCUGAUAAAAAUUUUCACUUCUAUUGGAACAGCCUCACACCAUUGCACAUUGUUUCCAGGAUCCAUGCCGCUAAGGUGGUAUUUAAGGCGUGUCACUCCACCACUUUUCAUCGUAAUCCGACAUUAUUUACAUAUGCUACCGUUUUUGUUGCGGGGAUUCGUUCACCGUGCUCCCAUGCAGGAUCACGUCUACUUCCUCCACUAGUCAUUGUAUUUCCUUAUAAAAGACUCCUGCACAAAAACUUAGUUAAUUAAAAGAGAUAAUUUCACUUUACUACCCUAAACUUUAGGUCUAAAAUCAGUUUGAUACCUCAUCUUUUUUUUAAUCAGUUUCAUACCUAAACUUUCAAAAUGACAUCAAUCUCAACUAAAAUGACUAAAAUAGCCCUGGUUAAUCUUUUUACCCUCUCAGAGUUAAGAAUGGNNNNNNNNNNNNNNNNNNNNNNNNNNNNNNNNNNNNNNNNNNNNNNNNNNNNNNNNNNNNNNNNNNNNNNNNNNNNNNNNNNNNNNNNNNNNNNNNNNNNNNNNNNNNNNNNNNNNNNNNNNNNNNNNNNNNNNNNNNNNNNNNNNNNNNNNNNNNNNNNNNNNNNNNNNNNNNNNNNNNNNNNNNNNNNNNNNNNNNNNNNNNNNNNNNNNNNNNNNNNNNNNNNNNNNNNNNNNNNNNNNNNNNNNNNNNNNNNNNNNNNNNNNNNNNNNNNNNNNNNNNNNNNNNNNNNNNNNNNNNNNNNNNNNNNNNNNNNNNNNNNNNNNNNNNNNNNNNNNNAGUGAAAAAAAUGAUAUUUUCGGCAAAAUAUCACCGAAAAUAUCGAUUUUUUCUUCCUUGGUCUCGAGGGUCCCAGACACACAGGUCCAAAAAUGUUGAUAUUGUUCCCAGUUUAGCUACCUGGAUGCAAAACCGGUAUGGGGUUUUAACACAAAAGGUCUCAACAUUAGUGUGUGUGGUACCAUUCCUUAUAACCCAUGGAUAACUCUUCACGUUUCUGAUGUGGGAUUCUAAAGGGCUCUAAUCUAAGCCACACUGUUCCAACAUGUGUGAUAUGGGAACUAGGAAAAGACUACUGCCAAACAAAAGAAAAGAUAUUUUUGUUUGGAAAAAACUUGUAUCCGGACUACUAUGUACGUGUGCGUCUGGACUCUCUCUUAUUUAUAUAUUUUUGUCAAUGUAAAUCAUGAUCUUAACCGUUUAAAAGUUGAAUUAACCAAUAAACACAUCUGUAAAAAAAUUAAUGUAAACAAAAUUCGUAUGUUCAGCCGAUUGCAUUAAUAUUUGAUUUCUUAACAAACAAACACACACAAAUAUCAUCCAAAUAUCAAGUAACUAACAAAAAUAUCAUAUUUGAUUUCUUAUCAAACACACAUACACAAAUAUCAUCCAAAUUUCUAACGAUAUGUAUAGCAAUAAAUAUAUUAUAUAUUACAAACCAAAACUUUCAUCAAUAAAAAAACAAAACAUAAGAAAAAUGUAAUUCAGUAUUGUUCGGUUUAAAUCGGGCGGUUUAUAACUCAGAACCGCAACCAAACCGUUUUUAUGUGGUUCGGUAUUAUAUUACCAUAAAACGACAUCAUUUUAGGUCAGUGCGGUUCAGGUUUGUAACCGCAUAUUCGGUGUAAAGAGUAAUUAUUCUCUGUACCCGGAACACCACGUGGCACUGCCAUGUGGUGUACCCGGCCAAUUAUAUAACUCAGAUUCAUGUGGGGACCAGCAUGGAGUGAAAAAAAAAGUAAUUAAAUACACCAAUCAUAAAUAAGGAUAAAACAUGUGGACCAAUGAGAUUAAAGGGGAACAUAAAACAUGUGGUGUUCCGGGUACAAAUAAUAAUUUCCCCGAUGUAAAUUGCCCAUCCCUAAUUUCGUGUAAGCUUGAAGGACUUGUUACCAAAUUUUAACUAAAUUAUAGAUUUGAAUGUUCACAAGUAGCCAUGUAUUUAGGUCUAUACGUACCUAAUCGUCAAUUUGAUUUGAGAAACGUAUAUGAAUAUUUUCUACCCUGCGGUCAUGAUGUGAUUCAUGUAUUUCUUAUCAUGUAUAUUAAAAUUACUCUGACAUGACAUAUUGAUCAAACCGGUGAGACAGUGCAACAAUGGUUCGGAUAUGAUUAUCACUGAUUUGGUAAGGCUAAACAAGUGGGUUAUUGUUGCACCAACACUGGAGUGCUUACAUGAGAACAUUAACCUUCCCUUUGUGGAUUAUACUGGCUUCGUCCAGAAUGGGAGGACUCGGUUCCUCACACCAAUGUUUAUAAAUCCCAACUUUUUAUAGAUUUUUGGUCACUCAACACUAAAACUACUCGUCAACCACCAUUGCGAACCUUCAUGGGAGCAUAUGUGAAUGCACGCUUAAUGUGCAAUUUCGCACUUACCUAUUAGAUUAGGGGUGCUCACGCUUGGGUUCAUCAUCCCCUAUUUUCUUUGGUUCUGGUUCUUAUGGUACUUGGUUCUAUUUCUCGGUCCUCUCUCGUCAAUCUCAGCUCCUUCAUGGCUUGAGUUUGGAUUGUGUAUUGUAUGAUGUAGUAUUGAGGGAGCUCUUCCUUUGUGUUGUGGAUUUCCAUAUGAUUUGUACUUUGGGGUUUGUUUGGCAUUAGGUUUCCGGGCUUUAACGCUUUGGCUCAGUACACCUCACUACCUCAUGGUUGUUGGCUGAGACGGAGACAACAAUAUUAGCAAGCAUAGGUGGUGUGUCUGGUAGGGUUUGUAGUAUUAUUAUGUUUCUUGUUUCGGAUGUAGUGUUUUCAGUUCAUAGAUUAGCGAGUUGUAAGUCUUCUUUUAAUCUUUUUAGUUUGAUCGAGUUGGAGACUCAUACUUUUUUUAUUAGCUUAUUUCCUUGCCUUACUUCUUUUUAAAGCUUUGUAAUUGUGUUUAUCUUUUGAUUAAUGAAAUAGUCAUUUGACUCAAUUCUCUCCACACAAAAAAAAAUUUUCAAACCAAGCCGCCAGUCCAAAGCCAAACGUCUUCGACAAACUUUAGACUUCCCGUGGUUAUUACUUCAUUGAAUCCUUAGUUUCCUUACUUCAUUGCCUAUUUCAACAAUCUCAGGGAAAGUUUUUCUUUUAGACCACUAAAAGUACCGCAAAACAGCCCCAACACCAACAGCCACUAAAGUUGUAAGACUGGUCGCAUCAGUAGCGACCUUGUCCUCCCACACGCACAUUAAUCGCAUUAGUAUUAGCCAAGAACAUAUUACUAUUGAACUAAUGCAGUGAAGUAAAGUGAAGGUAUUAGCCUCAAGUGAAGUGAAGGCAUUAACCUCAAGUGAAGUUUUGAUAUCCUAACUUUAAAUCCCUCCUCAUAUAUUAAAUCCAAUGUCAUAUUAAUGUUUCACUACUGCUUUUGUGAUUGGAAAUGAAUAAGAGUCAAAUAAUCAGAAAAAAUGUAUACAUCGGAAGGCUAGAGUGAAACAAUCACAAAAAAUGAUCGAAUUCUUCAGGCAUCUUAAUAUGUAACUCUAACAUUAUUCUACUGUUUGGACACGAGGGACGGUGCGAAAACAUUCUCCAAGUGGAGGACUGUGUUUAUGCAUAAUUGCAUAUAAAUUCUAUAUAAGAAUUAGGAGACACUGACACAUCAACUUACAUAGGACUGGGAGGAUUAGGAGAGCCGGCCUUAACUGAAAAUCACCAAAGGUCUACUCUCACCAACCACUAAGAUUAGCCGGCCAAUACCUUCACUUGUUACUCUCCAGUCUCCACUUGAUAACCCUCAAACGAUCAGCUUGCAUUUGCUCAUCAAGUACGAGCCAAUACAGAAAAGCUACAAGUAAAUGGCUACUGAAGCCAUGCAAGUAUUGAGAACGCAAGACAAAAAUGUUGAGAUGAGAUGUUCAAGCUCAAGCUCCAUAGUACGACACUUGAAAGACCCACAUCAAGCUCAUUUACUAUCUGCAAACCAAUUCUGCCAGAGGGAAUCUCUGUCAUUGAGUAGCAAGCUCUCAUAUAAUCCUACUCCAUCGAGUUCAACAGCUCCAACCCAGCAGCAUUUGGGGCAUCUGAAGCAUUCAUUUCUUGCUUCAUCAUCCUCAAAUCAGCAGACUUCAAGAAUGAAGGUGGAAUUUUAACACAAAGAGGGGAUUGUAUCUUGGCGGUCAUCCAAAAUGCACAGAGCUGCUAGACGGAUAAAGGUAAUCAGUUUAUUCAGAAAGUUGAAUGAUGGAACAAAGAAAAACAACUCUCUGAGGGGAAAAUGUAAAGACAGGUCAAGUGAAGAAACUAAUCAUACCAGCCAGGACAAAGUAUUUCACUUGGGCGUAAAUUCUGUUGAAUUGAAUAGCAGAACUCACUGGAGCCUCACUACAGAUAAUUGCUACUUGAACCAAAAUCUCAGCAACAAGUACCAACCAAGGCUUCUCAAGGACAUUGCAGGCCAUGAAAUGGUUGUGAAGACCAUAACUAAUGCAAUUCAGCAGAAAAAGAUCGCACCACUUUAUCUUUUCUAUGGUGCAAGAGGCUUUGGGAAAACAUCUACUGCUAGAAUUUUAGCCUUGGCACUGAACUGUGAAUCCAGUUUGAAUAUCAAACCGUGCUGGAAAUGCCAAGGAUGCAACAAAAGCCUUUCUAUUAUGGAAUUGUGUUCCGGAAGCACAGUUGCUGUUUUCAAAUGGAUCAGGAAACUCCUCCGAAGUAUGUUAUCUUUGCAAGCAACACCAGGAUUCAAGGUAUUUGUCCUUGAAGAGUGUGAAUCAAUUAGUACAGAAGCGUGGGACGAACUUUCAGGGAUAGCAAGUGGAGCUUACAAUGCUGGUGUAUUCAUCAUUAUCAUCGAGAUGUCAGAAGUUCUUCUUUCCCAAACUCAGAGACACUGAUGUCAUGCUCAAGUUGACUAGAAUUGCAGCCCAAGAGGGAAUAAGGAAUGAGAAAGAAGCAAUGAAAUUGGUUGUAACCAAAGCACAAGGAUCUUUGCGAGAGGCUGAAAACAUAUUAGACCAGUUGAUAUUAUUGGGGCCAAAGAUAACAAGUUCCAUGUCUAUGUAGGCCCAGUUCGAAAAUAAAACUUUCCGGAGCCCAACCAAAUCGAGUUCAAUAGCCAUGAAUUUACAAGGUCUCACACAUAGGAUUGACUUGAGAAUGUGAAUAGUUGGAGGCAUGAGAAGUAUUCAGAGCAUUGAAAGGCUUGAGCUUAACCUGUGAGUAGACUUUUAUUUUAAAUUGAAAGCAUGCAAUGCAUUAAUUUGAUGAUCAGUUUAUUUUCUUCUGCUGGAAUAUAUUACUUUUCUGAUAAUUGACAAUUUUCAUUAUUUUGGAGAGUCUGGGAUUUUCGGUGGAUAUAUAUAUAUAGAUAUUUAUGAGGAUAGUAUGUAUAUAAAUGCUAGCUAGCCAUACGUGUCUUUUCUGCCAUAAUAGUGUAGCCAUUAGCCGCCAUUAUGGUAUGACGUGAGCGUGGAACGUAAGCGUAGUUAGCUCUAUAUGAAUGUAGGUAUUCAUAUAAGGGAUAUGCAACACGUAUAUACACCCGUCUUUUCCGCCUUAAUGGUGUAGCAAUAAGCCGCCAUUGUGGUGUAACGUGAGCGUGGGACGCAAGCGUAGUAGCCUUGUAUGAAUUUCUAGCUUUCACAAGAAUUCAUACAAGAAGUAUGACAUGUGUAAAUACAUACUUAUAUACUAUAGCCUGGGAGGCUCUAUAUUAUUAAAGUUUUGGAGACUAGCGGGGCUAGUCACGCAUUUGCCAGUUUAUAAGUUAACAAGUUUUGAGUUUGUCGCAUACAACAUGGCUUUUCUAUAGAAAUUAAAUCAGGAAAUCAUAAAUAUUUUUAUUUGUUCAUUCCUUUCAAAUUUAUUUUUGUCCACUCACUCUAAUGUUUUCAAAUGUUUUCCCCUAGGCCAUUCGUUUUAAAAUGCCAAGUCUGCAAAGUUUGGGUCGGUACUAGUAAGAGACGAGGCAUAGUUACCAACAUCACCACCACUUUUCACCAGUAGGUUAUAUGUUUAACCUACCAGUGUAUUUUUCUUGCUUCCUCUAGUUUUAGUAGCUUUGAUUACCUUGGGGGUAUUGGAUAAUAUUUGGUUGUAUGUUAAGACUCAUGAAUAUAUUUUAGAAAUGUUUGGAGGUUAGCAUAUAAUUUAUCUUUGGAUGUCUAAGUGAUGGAUUUAGAAAUGAUUUAAUGUUAUUGUGGUGGAUGUGUUUGUGGGGAGUGGAUGGCUGUAGGAGUUGAUGAUGGAUAGGUUAUUAUAGAAGUGUUUAUCUAGAUUUUUCAGGUUAAGGUUGUCCAUUUUCAAGGGGGAGGUUCUGCCGAUUUUUCGGUAAAUUUUCCUUGGAGGUGGACCCCGCAUGAUUUACUUCGGGUUUCAGGGUGAAAUUCGGGAUGAGUCCUGACAGUGUAUACAACACACUCAAUAGUUGUGUGCUGUGAUUGAUGCGAAGGACGAUUAUUGAAAAUGCAUUUGAAAGUCUAUUUUAUUUUUAAAGUAUAUGAAAUAAGUCUGCCAAAUAAUAAGAUAGAAUACUCUAGAUAUGCUAAUCAAACUAGAUGCCCUAAUCCAUGUUUGAUCGGGUCUCCUUGUAAUGUAAGGAUUCAUAAUUAUAUUAGGUUUCCUAAUAGUCUAAGGUUUCAUACUUAUAAUUGUCAAUAUAAAAGAAAGGAGAAAUUAAUGGUCACUCCAUUAACUUUCAUGCGCUCGACAGUUUACUCCAUUAACUUUCAAUUUCAAUCGAUUACUCCAUUAACUAUCCAAUGUCACACAAUUAGGUCCAUCUGUUAGGUGGUCGUCCAAAUCAGUGGUUAAGUUGCUGACUGGACAUAUUUUUCAACUAGAAAUUCNNNNNNNNNNNNNNNNNNNNNNNNNNNNNNNNNNNNNNNNNNNNNNNNNNNNNNNNNNNNNNNNNNNNNNNNNNNNNNNNNNNNNNNNNNNNNNNNNNNNNNNNNNNNNNNNNNNNNNNNNNNNNNNNNNNNNNNNNNNNNNNNNNNNNNNNNNNNNNNNNNNNNNNNNNNNNNNNNNNNNNNNNNNNNNNNNNNNNNNNNNNNNNNNNNNNNNNNNNNNNNNNNNNNNAACCCAUCAGCCAGCCAUGGCUUCCCACUUUUCUCUCUCCGUCGUUUCUCUCAUCACCCUCCUCUUCCUCGCCGCAACCGCCUCGCCGGACGCCGCCUCAUCCAUCACCAUUGGCGUCACGUAUUCCGCCUCCACCGUCGCCACCUGCCCCACCCCUCCGCUACCGGAGCGCGUGGCCUCGACCAUCGCUUCUCUCAGCCUCGCCGCCCUCCGCCUUGACAUCUCUGACCCUAACCUCAUCCGCGCCUUCCUCUACUCCAACAUGACUGUUUCCAAUCAAACAAAUGGCUUCAAUUUCAUAUAGAGGAAGGGGAGUCGAGCAAGAAGAGGUUGUUGGCUGGGGAUUCAAAGUGGUUGAGAUUUCAAGUCUAGCACGGGUUUGAAGCGGAAAACGGAAGGGCUUCAUGGAUGGUGUUGUUUAGGGUUUGGUUGGUGGCGAAGGGAGAAGAUUGUUGUAAGGGUUUGAGUUUUGGGCUUUGGGAGAGAGAUGCGAGGUAGGUGGGUUUGAGUUUUUGGCGUCGGGAGAGAGAUGUCGAGGAGCUACGGGGUGAGCUACUGGUGGUGUGGUUGCGGUGUCAAUGUGGUUGGUUACUGGUGGUCUGGUUGCGGUGUCUUUGAUUACGGUGUUGAUGUGGUUGGUUGUUGGUGGUGUGGUUGGUUGGUUGCUGGUAUUGUUGUUGCGGUGUUGUUGAAGGUCCAACUGGUGAUGUGGCGGCGUUGUGGUUGCGGAGGAGGUGGAGGAGGAGAGAGAAGAGAUUGAAGAGAUUAAGGAGGGAGGGAGGGAGGGUAGGUGUUAAAUGGAAUUUUCAGUUGAAAAAUAUGUCCAGUCAGCAACUUAACCAUUGAUUUGGACGACCACUUAACGGAUGGACCUAAUUGUGUGACAUUGGAUAGUUAAUGGAGUAAUCGAUUGAAAUUGAAAGUUAAUGGAGUAAACUGUCGAGCGCAUGAAAGUUAAUGAAGUGACCAGUAAUUAGUUCUAAAAGAAACUGUGAUCUCGAAUCUAUAUUAAUUAAGCCAGAAAAAUUGUACGAUACUUAGUUGUUGAAAUAUCAUACAGAAGGGUAAAAAGGAGAGUUGACGUUCUUUGUUACGGCUAGCAGCAAACUCACAAGUAGAUGUGAACGAGUUUUUUUUUUUCACUCUAUAUAUAUAACACUUAAAGAGAAACAAGUAAAUCAUUGAGAUUUAUUUUAUUUUAUUUUUCUAGAAAUGUUAUUUUGUGCAUGCUUAAAAAGUCCCAGAAAUAAAAUAAUCGCUUUUAAGACAGUGAUGCACCCUGCUGCGGGUGCUCUUCUCUCUAAGAGAAUGAGAAAAAAGAAAACAGAAAAAUAAAAUUAUUACAACUGGAAAAUCAAAUCCAGUUUCUUAAACGUACGUCCGCGCGUCUGCCUAUAAAUGGUCACCCCACUACCACUGGUACAAGGCUUCCCUCCCAUUUCGUGCCUCCGCUUUCUGUUAGAGUGAAGACUAAAUAGCGAGAGAGAAGAGAGAGAAAAGAAACACAUCGGCGACGAAGAACUCUGAAAUCUAGGGUUUCUUAGUUCAUCAAAGCGACGCCGUUUCAUACUUGUGCGUUUUUAUAUCUUCACCUUUGUUCAUAUAUGGUUCUACCCCUGUGAAUGCUAGAUAUCUCAACUCCAAGGCUGAGGCAGAGGUUUGUAAUAGAUUUGUCCUUAAACAACCAGCAGCUUGUUCCAUUGGACCUCAAGCACAUGUUACCAAGAGCUCUGAGGAACCAAGCACUCCUAAAUGGCUAAAGUUUUACGGGAAGUGGUUUCCCGGGUUCUUACAAGGUCCGUCAAAGCAUUCAGAUUAUGCUCUCUCUUCUCUAAAAGUUGACUUCAGGGCUAAGUUUGGGUUAAAUUUGGAUCCCUCAUCUGUGGACUGCUCUAAGAUGAGUGACUUCCUGAAGUAUCUCCCUGAUUUAUGUACCAUCAUCAAGAGAGGAAAUCCAAAUCACAUGAUCCUCCAGCCAAGCGAAUCACACUUCGAUCAAGAAUCUGAAUCUUCCAAGGUAGUACAAGUGACUGAAUAAACUUUCCUUUUGAUAUGUGCUCAUGCUUGAUUUAUA